UUCUAGCACAUUAACAAAAUAUCACAAAUAAAUUGUCGGCAGCCCCUGCGGCCUCGGGGUGCGGGUGCCCCCGACCACUGCCCCCCGAAGCCCCCGCGACGGCCUCCCAACCCUCCCCGUGGCCUUUGGAGCUUUCACGCUCUGGGGCCAAGUUUUUGUCUCUGUAAAAAAUUGCGGGAAAUUCAAUUUUUAUUCGACUCGGGGAAAAGUUUCUUUGCUCCGCGACGUGAAUGUCUCACCAGAUUCUGUCGGAGAAGAUGUCGGAGCCGGAGCCGCCGGUUGGCUGAAAGGCGCUUUCUCUGUGGAGGCCGACCGCGGGAGGGAGGGGGCCGGGGACGGCUCCGCGGAGGGAUCUGACGCACACGAAGCCGCAGCACAGGCUCUAUUCAGCGGCGCUGGCUGGGGCUGAGAUGGAAGUUAGUUUCUAUGUAGCAGAAAUGGGAAACAAAUGAAGCAAGACUGCCCAAAGAGGGGAAAUGCCUCGAGGAUGGGUCUCACUCACACGCGCGCACACAGACACACACGCAGAGCCCUCUCGCGCCGGGCAAACUCGGGAUCGCGCUACCCGGCCCGAGUUGAAUGAUAGUGUUUGGUUUCUGUCUCUUGCCAUGUGCAUGUGUAUAAAUGCUGCGGAUUGGCAUCUGUGUAAGUCUUGUCCUGCGUUAUUUCUGCAGCCUAUGCAAAGUGUUGUGUAAUUUAUUGGAGUGCCGUAUAUUGCAAUAGAGGUUCGGCUCUUUUUGUUAAGCACUUGGCGUUUGCAAGCCCGUUAUUUGCUGAAGCCACCUCUGCAUAUAUCUUUUAUUAUUGCCAUUGCCUUAAGCAUUUUACAUUUAAAGAUGUUUUUUUAUUGUUGUACGGGCAAAGCGAACUCCUGAUCUGUACUUCAGAUACUCUUUUUCCUGGUUACAAAAGGGCUAGUGAUGGCUAAUUAGGGAUUUGGGAUUAAAGAACCUUAAAGCUUUUUGAAGUGUUUACAAGAAGGAAUAACGUAAACCUGAGAGAAAGGAAAGAACGCUAAUAUUUAUCUCUAACUGAUCUGGAGGUAAUUUACUGACAGAUCAAUAACCCACCGAGGGAUAUUGAAAGAGUAUACUACAGUUUAGCCAAGGUGAUUAGUGAUUAAAUAAUUUAAAUUAUCUGUGUAUCUUACAGUUGACUUCGUCAUGCUAAUUAAUGGCUUCUAAUUUGAGGUGUAAACCAUUCUUGUUUACAGUUAAUCACGGGAAGACUUAUUGAAAACUGACGAAAAGAGAAAAAAUUAAUCUUUCGUAAAUUAGUAUGUAAUUACCGGUUUUAUAUGCUAAAUCAUACAUCUGUGUUUUGCUGAUGAGGGUAAGGGCCUUGUUUUUUAAAAAACGAAUAUGGGUGAAAUUAAUGGAAACAAUGGAAAAAGCCGUUUGUUAGAAAACAAGGACACCAAGUGAUAUUUAUCUCCAGAUGAUUUAAGCACUUUUCAAAAAGACUUGAUAGUUGAUUUUUUUUUUAAGGAUUGCAUUUUAAAAGGAAUUAGGAUAGUCGUUCUUUGUUAACAUUUAACAAAAGAUUCUCCUUUAAAAUUUUAGAUAAUAAACUGCAUUUUAUGUAUCUGGUCUAAAAAGGUUAUUUGUGGGUAAAGGACCAACAAGCUGUAUUAUGGCUUUCUAGAUUGUUUCCUCAAGCCUUGUUCCCUCCUAGCUCCUUACAUUACUAGUGAGAAAUACUUGCUGCAGCUGCCUCGGGUUGCACUGCAAGACUGCACCGGUGUGAUGCCCUAUACUAAAUAUCCAGAAAUCAUCCUACAUGUGAGGGAAAAAAAAAAAAAAAAAGCCUAAACCUCUUUGGAAUGAUAGGAUGUAAAAAUUGCCUUUUAGAACAAUCUUACUCACAAUAAAAAAGAGAAGUUACCAUGACUUGUCCUAUUGGAGCCUGGUUAUCAGAGUACUGUUAUUUAUUGAAAUGGCUAUCCUUCAAAUACUGAAAAUAUUUGCAUUUUUAAAGACAUUUAUUCCAUUCUAUCUAUUAUAGGUAAGUAGCUUGCUUCUGGAUAGUUAGGUUUGAAGGGCAGACAUUUAAUAUGCCUUUUUGCAAUUCUCUUUAUUUCUGUGACUGCUGCUUUCUAUUUUGACUUUUAAAAAAGUCUUAUAUUCUUCAAAUAAUUGUGGUAUUUUACAUUAUCAUGAUGUUCUUCAUAUAAACAGAUUAUAGGAACUAAAAA